UUUCGAACCGAAAAAAUUAUG
rnacentral:piRNA from 1 species